CUCCCCUCAAGACACGGUCACAGAUCAGAGGGCACACCAUCCUAGCAGUGGAGCAGGACCAGCUGGGACAGGGUCCUUCUGUGACACCUGCUGCAUCACCAGGCUGGGUGAACGGACACAAUUGCCAGAACUCACAGAAUAGAAGUAUCAGCACCGAAACCUCACAGGAAAAAUGAAGACAUUUUCUUUCUCUUCUGAGUAACUGAAAUAAAAUCUGGCCUUUGUGAAACCCUGGAAAUACCACAACCCUCAACUAGAAACACCAAUACCAGCUCCUCCGCGAGUUUCCAGCUCCACAACCUAAGACAUCAGAGGCAGCAUUGGUUCCUCACGUAGAGUCCAGCUCCGGGACCCUCAUAUUUGAACCGCAGGGCCAUCUCAUCCCUGGAUCUCCAGCUGCACCACACUCAAAUUAGAACAACAUCAGUUCCUCCCCAGGUCUCCACCUGCACAGCCCUCGAAAGGGAACAUCAGCUCCUCCCCGGGUCUCCAGCUGUAGGUCCCUAAAACUAGAACAUCAGCUCCCGCCUGGGUCGCCAGCAGCACCACCCUCAAACUGGAACAUCAGAUCCCCAUGGGUCUCCAGCUGCAGGGCCCUCAAACUGGAACAUCAGCUCCCCCACCAGAUCUCCAGCUGCACGGACCUCAAACUGGAACAUCAGCUCCCCGCCGGGUCUCCAGGUGCACUGCCUGCAAACUGGAACAUGAGCUCCCUGCCGGGUCCCCAGCUGCAUGGCCCUCAAACUGGAACAUCAGCUCCCCACCAGAUCGCCAGCUGCACGACCCUCAAACUGGAAUAUCAGCUCCACCCCGGGGCUCCAGGUGCACAGCCCUCAACUUGCAACAUCAGCUCCCCACCGGGUCUCCAGCUGCACGGCUCUCAAACAGGAACAUCUGCUCCCCACAGGGUCUCCAGCUGCACGGCUCUCAAACAGGAACAUCAGCUCCCCACAGGGUCUCCAGCUGCACGGUCCUCAACCUGCAACACUGGCUCCCCACCAGGUCUCCAGAUGCACGGCCCUCAAACUGCAACAUCAGUUCCCCCCGGGUCUCCAGCUACACCGCGUCAACCUGGAACAUCAGCUCCCCGCCGGGUCUCCAGCUCCACGGCCCUCAAACUGCAACACUGGCUCCUCACCGGGUCUCCAGAUGCACGGCCCUCAAACUGGAACAUCAACUCCCCACCGGGUAUACAGCUGCAUGGCUGGAACAUCAGCUCCCCCGCGGGUCUCCAGCUGCACAGACCUCAAACUUGGACAUCAGCUCCCCGCCGGGUCAUCAACUGCACGGCCCUCAAACUGGAACAUCAGCUCCACCCUUGGGUCUCCAGCAGCACGGCCCUACAACUGGACCAUCAGCUUCCCCCCGGGUGCACGGCCAUCAAACUGGAACAUCAGCUCCCCGGCCCUCAAACCAGAACAUCAGCUCCCCGCCGGAUCUCCACCUGCACAGCCGUCAACAUCAGCUCCUCCCCGACUCCACGAGUCUCACAGAACAGCCACACUGGCUCCUUCAUUGUCUUCAGCUCCACAACCUAA